GUAUUUUUUACUUUACAGUCUUGCAGCAGUAAACUGGUUUUUUUUCAUAUAAAUGAAGGAAAUAACUCACUUUACACAUUUUGAUAUUUUCUGCCAACUGAAAUCGUUCACUGAGUCCAUAUGUAACUCUUGAAAUACAUUGUGGACUAU
ensembl:ncRNA F40G12.16 ncRNA